rnacentral:tRNA from 1 species
GUGUAGCUCAGUGGCAUAGCACUUGUCUAGCAUAUGCAAGACCCUGGGUUCAAUACCCAGCACCACA